CUUGAAGCAGCUUCUCGUUUGGUACUGUAGUUCCAGCAAAUUACUAUUGUAAAGACUCUGUAUUAAAACUGUGGCUCUCUGCUCACUCCACCAGCUUAAUUUCAGACAUAAAGAACUCACUCUCAUUACACUAGUGCCAAAUAAGGGGAUGUCAGUUACAUUGUAAUACAACACUGAGGAAGACUAGAUCCCCGCUAUGCACACGUUUUUAUUCGUUCACGUUUUAUAAGUUGUAAGAUAUAACACGUUACAAUGCUGAAGCAGAACUGUAGAAAUUGAUUACCAUUUAAAUACCAGACAUCUGUCAAUGCAGAUUCUCAUAUCGCAAAUUUGAAAUAUACGGCAGCUAUGAGCCUACUGCUGCAACCUCUGAAACCUGAAACACUUGGCUGGAGGGGAAGAAGGCAUCAGAGCAUCUCUACUCACGGAAGACUAAUGAGCUGGGGAGGCCAGACAAUUUUCACUUGGGGACGAACCCAGAGGAAUACAAUUUUUUUUUUUGUUGAAAAAGACACAAAAAUACAAAGGGGACAUGCUAACUCUAUAAAGACACCCAAGAGCAGACUCCAAAUAGAGGUGUGAUGCAGCCAUAUUUACUGUCAAGCCGCUGUGCCAAAUAUUUUAUAUUUAAUAAAAC
rnacentral:lncRNA from 1 species